rnacentral:rRNA from 1 species
AACGAACGCUGGCGGCAUGCCUAACACAUGCAAGUCGAACGGGAUCCAGGCUUCGGCCUGGUGAGAGUGGCGGACGGGUGAGUAACACGUGGGAACCUGCCUUUUGGUUCGGGAUAACCGCGGGAAACUGCGGCUAAUACCGGAUGCUCCCGAGAGGGGAAAGAUUUAUCGCCAGAAGAGGGGCCCGCGUCCGAUUAGGUAGUUGGUGAGGUAAUGGCUCACCAAGCCGACGAUCGGUAGCUGGUCUGAGAGGAUGAUCAGCCACACUGGGACUGAGAUACGGCCCAGACUCCUACGGGAGGCAGCAGUGGGAAUAUUGGACAAUGGGGCAACCCUGAUCCAGCAAUGCCGCGUGAGUGAUGAAGGCCUUAGGGUUGUAAAGCUCUUUUGCCAGGGAAGAUGAUGACUGUACCUGGAGAAUAAGCCCCGGCUAACUUCGUGCCAGCAGCCGCGGUAAU